AUGUCCUCGUACUGCUUGUACACCACGUUGUUGGCAGAGUCAAUGAAGAGGAUGCUGAUGGGACUCAGCCGUGUGGGCACGCAGCAGGGCCUCGAUCAUCUAGAGAGAACAGUCAGAAGUCAAUUUUUGCAACCUCACCAGCAGAGCCAGCCACCUCCAGGCCUCAGGGGAGGGCCCCAGCUCUCUCCCCCUCAAGAGAGCUUUCUUUGACCUCUUCCCUACUGUUACAGAGGCCAACACUCCAAGCCACUAAGUGCCUUUUUCAGAAUGAGGAAGCUUCCUACGUAGCGGACCAAGUAGGGAUGUUUAUCUGUAGAUGUGGCUGUGGAUGACUUGAGUGACUCUGGGUGUUUGUGACAAUGAUCUAUGUGUAUUAGAGCCAUCAGCCUUAUAACUGCCCUCUAUCCCUCUUGUCUCUCUCUCCAUCUGUGAUCUAACAUGAUAGCUCAUUGUGAGAGAGAUGGAAUGUGUAUUAAAGUCACCCUUUUACCAGAGGAGGGACAUAAAGUUCAAAGAAGCUAGGUGAAUUGCUCAAAGUCACCUAGCUAGGACAAAAUAAAGUUGGAAUUCUAGCCUCAA